rnacentral:rRNA from 1 species
GAUAGUGAACCAGUACCGUGAGGGAAAGGCGAAAAGAACCCCGGCGAGGGGAGUGAAAAAGAACCUGAAACCGUGUACGUACAAGCAGUGGGAGCACAGGUUUACCUGUGUGACUGCGUACCUUUUGUAUAAUGGGUCAGCGACUUAUAUUCUGUAGCAAGGUUAACCGAAUAGGGGAGCCGGAGGGAAACCGAGUCUUAAUUGGGCGUUAAGUUGCAGGGUAUAGACCCGAAACCCGGUGAUCUAGCCAUGGGCAGGUUGAAGGUUGGGUAACACUAACUGGAGGACCGAACCGACUAAUGUUGAAAAAUUAGCGGAUGACCUGUGGCUGGGGGUGAAAGGCCAAUCAAACCGGGAGAUAGCUGGUUCUCCCCGAAAGCUAUUUAGGUAGCGCCUCGUGAAUUCAUCUCCGGGGGUAGAGCACUGUUUCGGCUAGGGGGCCAUCCCGGCUUACCAACCCGAUGCAAACUGCGAAUACCGGAGAAUGUUAUCACGGGAGACACACGGCGGGUGCUAACGUCCGUCGUGAAGAGGGAAACAACCCAGACCGCCAGCUAAGGUCCCAAAGUCAUGGUUAAGUGGGAAACGAUGUGGGAAGGCCCAGACAGCCAGGAUGUUGGCUUAGAAGCAGCCAUCAUUUAAAGAAAGCGUAAUAGCUCACUGGUCGAGUCGGCCUGCGCGGAAGAUGUAACGGGGCUAAACCAUGCACCGAAGCUGCGGCAGCGACGCUUAUGCGUUGUUGGGUAGGGGAGCGUUCUGUAAGCCUGUGAAGGUGGCCUGUGAGGGUUGCUGGAGGUAUCAGAAGUGCGAAUGCUGACAUAAGUAACGAUAAAGCGGGUGAAAAGCCCGCUCGCCGGAAGACCAAGGGUUCCUGUCCAACGUUAAUCGGGGCAGGGUGAGUCGACCCCUAAGGCGAGGCCGAAAGGCGUAGUCGAUGGGAAACGGGUUAAUAUUCCCGUACUUGGUGUUACUGCGAAGGGGGGACGGAGAAGGCUAUGUUGGCCGGGCGACGGUUGUCCCGGUUUAAGCGUGUAGGUGUGUGUUCCAGGUAAAUCCGGUUCACUUUAACACUGAGGCGUGAUGACGAGGCACUACGGUGCUGAAGUAACAAAUGCCCUGCUUCCAGGAAAAGCCUCUAAGCAUCAGGUAACAUCAAAUCGUACCCCAAACCGACACAGGUGGUCAGGUAGAGAAUACCAAGGCGCUUGAGAGAACUCGGGUGAAGGAACUAGGCAAAAUGGUGCCGUAACUUCGGGAGAAGGCACGCUGACAC